AGCAGGUAGAGGCAGCAGCAUUCAGCAAGAGCACAGAGUGACAGUGAGGGGAGGCCCAGACGCCAGCCUAGAUCAAAGCCAAAUAACUCAUCAAGCUCCAGGGAACAUGUAGCUGAUGAAUAUGCCUCAGGCAGGUUCAAGGACAACUGGUUGGAGGCCAGUAAUGGAUUUUUACCUGGACACACGGCAGCCUGAAAUAAAGACUACACAUUUGAGUAUCCCCGCAGCUAGUUGUUUCAUUUGACUAAAUCCUGGCCGAGGAGUUACACAAGGAAACAUCAUGGUCAACUUCUAGGGAAGGUCCUUAAAUUGAAAAAGAAUUGCCUUCUUGCCCUUUUCUUUUUCUUGCUGGUUAGAACGUGGAAGGGAUGGCUAGAGCUCAAGCAGCCCUUUUGGUCCAGGAGGCAGCACACUUAAGAUGGUAGAAGAGUAAGAAGAAAGAAGCCUAGGGACAAGAAACACUGCCUUUGCCAGGCAGAGGCUACAGGCCACAUGAACAGGAUAGAGCACUCAGCCUCCUGACCUCACUUUAUUCUCCCUUCUGGGCCUCUCUUGCAAGCAGCAAUAUGAUUUGGAGAAGUGGAUAAAGGCCAAAAAGAGCCUCCCAAAACGCACAGACUUUGGAGAAUCCUGUUUGGAUCUAUGUGUCCAUGGACCUAUUGCUUUUCUGUGUUCCUCAGAGUACAAAGUACACUGGGGUUGGCGCCCUCCUGGAAUGUCACCAGGGGCUCAGUGAACUCUGCACAGCAUCCCACUUAGGUCCACCAGCAAGAUUGCUUUGCCAACCUUGGUCAGUCUUUGGGCAUAAAAGGAAAAGGUGAGAGAGGAUUUCACUUAGGAGAAAUCCAUUAUUCCAACCAAGAAAAACAAUCAAAAAAUGUUCUGUGGGUGGUAAGUUGAUACUACUACUUGGAAUUUGGGAGCAC
rnacentral:lncRNA from 1 species